AGGAAAUAUCACGCUUGGGUCGCAUUUUUAUGCGCGGAUCGUUCUUCCGAAAGGCAGCAGGAACUCCGCAUGCAAGGUGCAGGGCGCCGUCUUGUGGACAAUGUCGGGUGCUGUCACAUCCUCCGGCCGUCCAAGGCGUUUCUACUCGUGAGGAUUCUUCAAUUCGUCACUCCAAGCAACGUUCUUUCAACGCCACCCUGGAGUUCUUGAGUCUGGUUAGGUGAUUGGAGAGCUAGCUUCCGCAGCUAGCUGGUCCAUGACGAUGGCUUCUGUUUUGUUUGACCCGCCGUUUUACUGCCUUGUUACAGACCCCGUUUGGAAACAAUUAAGAGAGGACGGCCAAAGAAGCAAGGAGACAAAGAGCCAAGAAGACCUGAGAGAGACAGGAGUCAGCUGACUUGGAGCAAGAAGGGUCGUCAGUGACCAGAACAAAUGGAGGAGACUCGUCGCCCAAUCUUUCAACAGGAAUCCGAGGAACUAAGUCCAAUCUCAUGCGGCCGUGCGGGUUCCAAGGACCAUCAAGGAAGGACAUGCUUUGAGCAGGUUUGAUUUGCUUUAUUUUCCAAUCAGCUUGUCUGCAGGUUGCUUUUCUGCUCCUUCCUCCACUUCUCACUCUUCGGUCGCUUUUCAGCCGUCGUCGUUGCCAUCUUGCUCUCUGUCGCUUCGGCUCUUCAUUCACUGUUGCAGGCUCUCCAACUCUCUCCGUCCCGUUUUCUCCUCCUUCUCCCCUUUUAUACAUCGUGAGGAGAUAUAAAUGUAUUUGUACGCGUGUUUCAAGUGCCAAGUUCCUUAUGACUCUAAGGUGUUUGCAUGU